rnacentral:rRNA from 1 species
UACAGAGGUCUCAAGCGUUGUUCGGAUUCAUUGGGCGUAAAGGGUGCGUAGGCGGCGCGGUAAGUCGGAUGUGAAAUCUCGGAGCUUAACUUCGAAACUGCAUUCGAUACUGCCGUGCUUGAGGACUGGAGAGGAGACUGGAAUUUACGGUGUAGCGGUGAAAUGCGUAGAUAUCGUAAGGAAGACCAGUGGCGAAGGCGGAUCUCUGGGCCUUACCUGACGCUCAGGUGCGAAAGCUAGGGGAGCGAACAGG